rnacentral:rRNA from 1 species
UCAGAGGGGGGUAGAAUUCCACGUGUAGCAGUGAAAUGCGUAGAGAUGUGGAGGAAUACCGAUGGCGAAAGCAGCCCCCUGGGAUAAUACUGACGUUCAUGCUCGAAAGCGUGGGUAGCAAACAGGAUUAGAUACCCUGGUAGUCCACGCCCUAAACGAUGUCAAUUAGCUGUUGGGCAACUUGAUUGCUUAGUAGCGUAGCUAACGCGUGAAAUUGACCGCCUGGGGAGUACGGUCGCAAGAUUAAAACUCAAAGGAAUUGACGGGGACCCGCACAAGCGGUGGAUGAUGUGGAUUAAUUCGAUGCAACGCGAAGAACCUUACCUGGUCUUGACAUGUACGGAAUCUUUCAGAGACGGAAGAGUGCCUUCGGGAACCCUAACACAGGUGCUGCAUGGCUGUCGUCAGCUCGUGUCGUGAGAUGUUGGGUUAAGUCCCGCAACGAGCGCAACCCUUGUCAUUAGUUGCCAUCAUUAAGUUGGGCACUCUAAUGAGACUGCCGGUGACAAACCGGAGGAAGGUGGGGAUGACGUCAAGUCCUCAUGGCCCUUAUGACCAGGGCUUCACACGUCAUACAAUGGUCGGUACAAAGGGUAGCCAAGCCGCGAGGUGGAGCCAAUCUCAGAAAACCGAUCGUAGUCCGGAUUGCACUCUGCAACUCGAGUGCAUGAAGUCGGAAUCGCUAGUAAUCGCAGGUCAGCAUACUGCGGUGAAUACGUUCCCGGGUCUUGUACACACCGCCCGUCACACCAUGGGAGUGGGGGAUACCAGAAG